rnacentral:rRNA from 1 species
AGAGUUUGAUCUUGGUUCAGGACGAACGCUGGCGGCGUGCCUAAUACAUGCAAGUCGAACGCACUCUCGUUAGAUUGAAGAAGCUUGCUUCUGAUUGAUAACAUUUGAGUGAGUGGCGGACGGGUGAGUAACACGUGGGUAACCUGCCCUAAAGUGGGGGAUAACAUUUGGAAACAGAUGCUAAUACCGCAUAAAACCUAGCACCGCAUGGUGCAAGGUUGAAAGAUGGUUUCGGCUAUCACUUUAGGAUGGACCCGCGGUGCAUUAGUUAGUUGGUGAGGUAAAGGCUCACCAAGACCGUGAUGCAUAGCCGACCUGAGAGGGUAAUCGGCCACACUGGGACUGAGACACGGCCCAGACUCCUACGGGAGGCAGCAGUAGGGAAUCUUCCACAAUGGACGAAAGUCUGAUGGAGCAACGCCGCGUGAGUGAAGAAGGUUUUCGGAUCGUAAAACUCUGUUGUUGGAGAAGAACGUAUUUGAUAGUAACUGAUCAGGUAGUGACGGUAUCCAACCAGAAAGCCACGGCUAACUACGUGCCAGCAGCCGCGGUAAUACGUAGGUGGCAAGCGUUGUCCGGAUUUAUUGGGCGUAAAGCGAGCGCAGGCGGUUUCUUAAGUCUGAUGUGAAAGCCUUCGGCUCAACCGAAGAAGUGCAUCGGAAACUGGGAAACUUGAGUGCAGAAGAGGACAGUGGAACUCCAUGUGUAGCGGUGAAAUGCGUAGAUAAAUGGAAGAACACCAGUGGCGAAGGCGGCUGUCUGGUCUGUAACUGACGCUGAGGCUCGAAAGCAUGGGUAGCAAACAGGAUUAGAUACCCUGGUAGUCCAUGCCGUAAACGAUGAGUGCUAGGUGUUGGAGGGUUU